CCUACGGGAGGCAGCAGUGGGGAAUAUUGGACAAUGGGGGCAACCCUGAUCCAGCCAUGCCGCGUGUGUGAAGAAGGCCCUCGGGUUGUAAAGCACUUUCAGUGAGGAAGAACGCCUGGUGGUUAAUACCCAUCAGGAAAGACAUCACUCACAGAAGAAGCACCGGCUAACUCCGUGCCAGCAGCCGCGGUAAUACGGAGGGUGCGAGCGUUAAUCGGAAUUACUGGGCGUAAAGCGCGCGUAGGUGGCUUGAUAAGCCGGUUGUGAAAGCCCCGGGCUCAACCUGGGAACGGCAUCCGGAACUGUCAAGCUAGAGUGCAGGAGAGGAAGGUAGAAUUCCCGGUGUAGCGGUGAAAUGCGUAGAGAUCGGGAGGAAUACCAGUGGCGAAGGUGGCCUUCUGGACUGACACUGACACUGAGGUGCGAAAGCGUGGGUAGCAAACAGGAUUAGAUACCCGUGUAGUC
rnacentral:rRNA from 1 species